rnacentral:tRNA from 1 species
GGGCACUUAGCUCAGCGGUAGAGCGCUUCGUUCACAUCGAAGAGGUCACAGGUUCGAUCCCUGUAGUGCCCA